GCCUGGUUGGCUCAGUUGGAAGAGCAUGUGACUCUUAAUCUCAGGGUCAUGAGUUCAAACCCCACCUUGGGUG
rnacentral:tRNA from 1 species